AGCGAACGCUGGCGGCAGGCUUAACACAUGCAAGUCGAGCGGGCGUAGCAAUACGUCAGCGGCAGACGGGUGAGUAACGCGUGGGAACAUACCUUUUGGUUCGGAACAACACAGGGAAACUUGUGCUAGUACCGGAUAAGCCCUUACGGGGAAAGAUUUAUCGCCGAAAGAUUGGCCCGCGUCUCGAUUAGCUAGUUGGUGAGGUAACGGCUCACCAAGGCGACGAUCAGUAGCNGGUCUGAGAGGAUGAUCAGCCACAUUGGGACUGAGACACGGCCCAAACUCCUACGGGAGGCAGCAGUGGGGAAUAUUGGACAAUGGCGAAAGACCUGAUCCAGCCAUGCCGCGUGAGUGAUGAAGGCCCUAGGGUUGUAAAGCUCUUUUGU
rnacentral:rRNA from 1 species